AGAUAGUAAGGUGGCGGACGGGUGAGUAACACGUAAAGACUUGCCCUGCAGUCUGGGACAACUACUGGAAACGGUAGCUAAUACCGGAUAUUGCCGCAUGGCGAAAGCUAUAUGCGCUGCAGGAGAGCUUUGCGUCCCAUUAGUUAGUUGGUGAGGUAACGGCUCACCAAGACCACGAUGGGUAGCCGGCCUGAGAGGGUGAACGGCCACAAGGGGACUGAGACACGGCCCUUACUCCUACGGGAGGCAGCAGUGGGGAAUAUCGGACAAUGGACCAAAGUCUGAUCCAGCAAUUCUGUGUGCACGAUGACGGUCUUAGGAUUGUAAAGUGCUUUCAAUCGGGAAAAAGAAAGUGAUGGUACCGAUAGAAGAAGCGACGGCUAAAUACGUGCCAGCAGCCGCGGUAAUACGUAUGUCGCAAGCGUUAUCCGGAUUUAUUGGGCGUAAAGCGCGUCUAGGCGGUUUGGUAAGUCUGAUGUGGAAAUGCGGGGCUCAACUCCGUAUUGCGUUGGAAACUGCCAGACUAGAGUACUGGAGAGGUGGGCGGAACUACAAGUGUAGAGGUGA
rnacentral:rRNA from 1 species